UACGAAGGGGGCUAGCGUUGCUCGGAAUCACUGGGCGUAAAGCGCGCGUAGGCGGACGAUUAAGUCGGGGGUGAAAUCCUGGGGCUCAACCCUAGAACUGCCUUCGAUACUGAUCGUCUCGAGUCCGGGAGAGGUGAGUGGAACUCCGAGUGUAGAGGUGAAAUUCGUAGAUAUUCGGAAGAACACCAGUGGCGAAGGCGGCUCACUGGCCCGGUACUGACGCUGAGGCGCGAAAGCGUGGGGAGCAAACAGG
rnacentral:rRNA from 1 species